rnacentral:rRNA from 1 species
UACGUAGGGGGCUAGCGUUGUCCGGAAUCAUUGGGCGUAAAGAGCGUGUAGGCGGCCCGGUAAGUCCGCUGUAAAAGUCAAAGGCUCAACCUUUGAAUGUCAGUGGAUACUGCCGGGCUAGAGUCCGGAAGAGGCGAGUGGAACUCCUGGUGUAGCGGUGGAAUGCGCAGAUAUCAGGAGGAACACCGGUGGCGAAGGCGGUUCUCUGGGCAUUACCUGACGCUGAGGAGCGAAAGCGUGGGGAGCAAACAGG